GUAACCUAGACCCUUAUCCCUGAGCGGUCUGAGUCCCUGAUUAUAAUGUCCUUCUUAGGCCAUGCCUGCUGCAUUUGCCCAUUUAUCAGCAAAAUUGGGCAAGGGAGAACCAAGUGACGUCUAAGAGGAUCACCGGCAUGCCGUCCACGAUCUUUUUUGCCAUCAUUGCAUAACAGCAGACUCAUCUUCUCCUAAAGAUCAGGGUCUUUUCCUGCUGGUUUCUCAGCAUGAAAAAAUUCAAGAAGAUGGGCGGAAAUAUUCACCCUCUGGGAGAGCCAGAACCUCUAAAUCUGCAGAGUCCAGAACUGUGGAGCAGGAAGCACAAGUUUCCAAAGUGGACCACUUGGGAUUGUGAUGCCACCGUGCUCUCAUCAGCCUCUGGCCCACCAUCUCCUUGAGGUGCUUUACGGAACUUCCGCCAUCCUGUUUGUGAAGCAGAAACCUGUGCUGGGACAGCCCUGUUCUGAGCAGAAAGGAGGAC